rnacentral:lncRNA from 1 species
GGGCGACGAAAUCCGAGGCUCGAUGCAGCGCGUCACGAAUUGUUGUCGGUUUAGACAGGUUCAACUCUUUCCUGAAUUCUGACUUGUACCAGAGAGCUUUCUUCAAAGCUGAGAGAGCUGCUACGUCGGUAAUUCCUUCGACCUUGGCUAGCGUUGAUUUGAAAGUCUUGAGGAAAUCUCUUAACGGCUCGGUGGGUUGUUGAGAUAAAGACCACAGAUCCGCGUCGGAAGUUCCGGGGUCGAUGAGCACGG